UACGGAGGGUGCAAGCGUUAUCCGGAAUCAUUGGGUUUAAAGGGUCCGCAGGCGGACCUAUAAGUCAGUGGUGAAAGCCCGUUGCUCAACAACGGAACUGCCAUUGAUACUGUAGGUCUUGAAUUCGGUCGAAGUGGGCGGAAUGUGACAUGUAGCGGUGAAAUGCUUAGAUAUGUCACAGAACACCGAUAGCGAAGGCAGCUCACUAGGCCUGGAUUGACGCUCAUGGACGAAAGCGUGGGGAGCAAAC
rnacentral:rRNA from 1 species